rnacentral:rRNA from 1 species
GUUGCAUGGCUGUCGUCAGCUCGUGUCGUGAGAUGUCGGUUAAGUCCGCUAACGAGCGCAACCCUCGCUGUAUGUUACAUGUGUCAUACAGGACCGCCGGUAUCAAGCCGGAGGAAGGUGGGGAUGACGUCAAGUCCGCAUGGCCUUUAUGUCCGGGGCUACACACACGCUACAAUGGUCGGUACAAUGGGUUGCUAAGCCGCGAGGUGGAGCCAAUCCCCCAAAGCCGGCCUCAGUUCAGAUUGCAGGCUGCAACUCGCCUGCAUGAAGCUGGAGUUGCUAGUAAACGCGCGUCAGCUAUAGUGCGUUGAAUACGUUCUCGGGCCUU